rnacentral:rRNA from 1 species
CCUACGGGAGGCAGCAGUGAGGAAUAUUGGUCAAUGGGCGCGAGCCUGAACCAGCCACGUAGCGUGAAGGAUGAAUGCCCUACGGGUUGUAAACUUCUUUUAUAAAGGAAUAAAGUGAGUCACGUGUGCCUUUUUGUAUGUACUUUACGAAUAAGGAUCGGCUAACUCCGGGCCAGCAGCCGCGGUAAUACGGAGGAGCCGAGCGUUAUCCGGAUUUAUUGGGUUUAAAGGGAGCGUAGAUGGGUUGUUAAGUCAGUGGUGAAAGUUUGCGGCUCAACCGUAAAAUUGCAAUUGAUACUGGCAGUCUUGAGUACAGUUGAGGUAGGCGGAAUUCGUGGUGUAGCGGUGAAAUGCUUAGAUAGCACGAAGAACUCCGAUUGCGAAGGCGGCUUACUAAACUGCAACUGACAUUGAGGCUCGAAAGUGUGGGUAGCAAACAGGAUUAGAAACCCUUGUAGUC